rnacentral:rRNA from 1 species
UACGUAGGGUGCAAGCGUUAAUCGGAAUUACUGGGCGUAAAGCGUGCGCAGGCGGUUUUGUAAGUCUGUCGUGAAAGCCCCGGGCUUAACCUGGGAAUUGCGAUGGAGACUGCAAGGCUUGAAUCUGGCAGAGGGGGGUAGAAUUCCACGUGUAGCAGUGAAAUGCGUAGAGAUGUGGAGGAACACCGACGGCGAAGGCAGCCCCCUGGGUCAAGAUUGACGUUCAUGCACGAAAGCGUGGGGAGCAAACAGG